UACGUAGGGGGCUAGCGUUGUUCGGAAUUACUGGGCGUAAAGCGCACGUAGGCGGUCUAUUAAGUCAGGGGUGAAAUCCUGGAGCUCAACUCCAGAACUGCCUUUGAUACUGAAGAUCUUGAGUUCGGGAGAGGUGAGUGGAACUGCGAGUGUAGAGGUGAAAUUCGUAGAUAUUCGCAAGAACACCAGUGGCGAAGGCGGCUCACUGGCCCGAUACUGACGCUGAGGCACGAAAGCGUGGGGAGCAAACAGG
rnacentral:rRNA from 1 species